rnacentral:rRNA from 1 species
UACGAAGGGGGCGAGCGUUGUUCGGAUUUACUGGGCGUAAAGGGCGCGCAGGCGGCUCAUUUUGUCAGGCGUGAAAGCCCCGGGCUUAACCUGGGAACUGCGUUUGAUACGGAUGGGCUAGAGUUCGGGAGAGGGGAGUGGAAUUCCCAGUGUAGAGGUGAAAUUCGUAGAUAUUCGGAAGAACAUCGGUGGCGAAGGCGGCCUUCUGGACGGAUACUGACGCUGAGAUGCGAAAGCGUGGGGAGCAAACAGG